AUUUAUGGCAAAUAAUCUCAUUGUCAAAAGUUGCUGCCAUUGUUUUCAACUAUUACGGCUAAGUUUGCCUAUAAAUUGAGCCUUGCAGCAACAUUGCAGAUCACCACCAAAAACAGAAAUCUUCUUCUGUUAGUAGAGAGAGCAAGAGUGAGUUGAAGGAAAAUCUCAAAUACGAGAGUUUGAGGGUUUGAGACAAAAGCUUAGUUAGAAGCUUUUGGUGUGAGAAAAUUAGAUAGUAAUUUU
rnacentral:lncRNA from 1 species